GAGAUGGACAGUGGAGGUCAUCUUGAUCUCCUGGGGGAUGAUGUCAUCUUACCAUAAAACUCAGAACACUUUAGCCAGCUUUUGUAUGAGCAGUGUGGACUUCUUGCCUUGUAGAUACCUGUUGGAGUGCUUUGCUAUAAGAGGGGAGCCUAAUGCUAUUCAGUACCUCUUUUUCCAUUGGAAAUUCAGCUUGAGAAGGAUUUCAACUAGAGAUCCUCCCUUCUUCACACCAACAAUCCACUUUUACAAACCACCAAAUUUGGUGCUAGCUAGCGCUGAACCGAAUAUGAAAUAGCCUCGAGGAUUCUGCAACCAAAUGGAACUGAUUAUACAACGAAAAAUAAACUUGAACAGGGCUCUGGGACAUCAUGUAAUGUAUUUUACUAUGUUUUGCGAAGUUAUAUGCAUUUGGAAGCAAGAAAAUUUGUUUUCAAGUACAGUGCCCUUCCUUUAGAAAACCAAAACACAAUGCCUGUUUUGGAAGAGAAAAAGAGCAAAUAAAUGAGAAGAUCAUUAUUCAGAAACUAACCAUUUGUUAUUAACUAUGAAAUAAAUCUAAAGGGGAGAGUUUGAAUCAGAGCAUGGCCUACCACACAAAGCGUGUGCUUAGCUUCAAAGUGGUUCUGAUCUGUUUAACUAUGUGCAAAGAGACAUUCUGAUAGCACUCAGCAGACUGUGAACCUUUUGGAGGGGACAGACAGUUCUUAAAUACCUGUCAUCAGUAUUACAUCGUAGACACACUAAGAUGGAACAGAAAGAUUCUCAUGUCAAGCCUUCACUAUUACUACAACACAAAUGACUUCAUCUGUGCAAUUAGUGAACAGGCUGUUCCCGCUUGGGAAACAGUUCCAGAAGGAGAAGCUUAUUUGGGGUUUGAUUUGUCCAUUUUUUCUGUUGUGAAUGUUGCAACUUUAGGCCGACUCAAUCUCUCAACUUAAUGCUUGCUGCCAAAAUGAGAAAGCUCUGCCCUUAAAUGAUUAAGACAAAUAAAAAAGAGGGAAAAGUAAAUUAAACACAGUCUUUCUAUCCCCAAACUACAGAUUAUAUCUACCUACACCUUAUUAUCUCUGUGGUCAAAAUGUUUUAGCACUUUCACAUCUGUAAAGUCAAAUUAAAUGGAUUUCUACUUAAUAAUUUGGCUUUUUCCAAAGCCAUGCUUUGCUACUAUUAUCAUUACCUUAUUGAGCUGUUUUAGCAACUAAUUUUCGAAAGCUGAAACUAAUUAAAUUCUUUUACUUAAAGGAAAUCAAAAGCAAAGGGAAGAGAACCUUUUCUUUCUCCAGUUUCUACUAUCUGCAGAGAGUAGGCUGUAGCUAAAGGCAGACCUUUGGAGAUUUAGAAUUACUAUGAUGGUAGCAGAAAUGAGAAAUACCUCCUUUAAUGGUCGUGUCUUAAGCUUCUAAUAACAUAAAAAGGUCACAUUAUUUACACAUUCGAAAAAGGAAGAAACUCCCCGCCCCCCACCAGAAAAUGGAGGUGUAGAGAUUGCUUUCUUAACUUUUGACUCAACAGUGAGACUGAAUAAGUAUUCCCAAAGCCCUACUUAAUAAAGGAAAAAAAAAAAAACCCUAAAAGGAGUUUCCUGUUUUUUCAUAUAGGCCCUUCUUCCAAUCCUAAUAUAUCCUACAUGUUGGCAGACACUGGGGACUAUCAGCAAGUUAUUAAAGAGAUACCAGUUUCUUCCAUUAGCAAGUAAAAAGUGAAUGUGGUUGGUAGAACAAUAGAUCAUGGAGUGUUCCCAUUAAAAAGUUAUUUAUGUUGUUGUUUGACUGGUGACCUUAUUAUGUAUUACAUCCUCAUCCCAUUUGAGAGUUUGGGGGAAUGUAUUUUCUAAGCAAAUAAUUUUCACUUAAAAAAAAAGACAUUUCAUUCAAUUCCAGACCUGAUUUUAAAAGAGAACAAAAGCUAUUAUUUUAUAACUUAAGACUCUUGUAUUGUACAGUUUGGCUUCUGUCAUGCUGUAAAAAGAAAGUUUUUUUUUUUUUUUUUAAAUCAAAAAUGUUAAUAGAAAUGAAUCAAAGCCAGGAUGCAGCAAUGCUGUGAUGGGACUGUGCAAUCACAUCUGUUAUCUGCUUGAGAUAGAAUUUAAUGAACUUGAUUUCAAUGUACAAUCCACAAUAUGCAAUAUGUUCUUUUAGACACACUAGGAGAAAGCAAACAGGGGAACUAUGUGUGCCCAACCAUAAGUGUGUAAGACAUUCAAGAAAGUGGUGUGAGUUCAAAGGAAGGAGGAUGGCUUCUGGUAGGGGCAGCUGGGAAGAUCAUAAGCGACUUGGGUCUAAAAAGAUAUUUGGUUUUUUGCCAGAGUGAAAGAAAUGGCAGAAAUGGAUAUUUUCAAAGAUUUGUUGGGACUUGAUACCACACAAAGGCAUUCUCCAGCACAGGCAGCAGGAUGGAAGACAAGACAAAUGUUCCAGCACUGGCCAAUUUCAAGUACUUUCCAGGUUUUUUAUUGUCAAUGAUAGCUCUGGACUUAAGCCAGAGAUCACUAAUUUGGAAUACAGAAGACAUGAAAAUGCAUCAAAAAAAAUGUACCAGAUUCCACAGCUGUUCAAUGGAUACAAAUUGAUCAGAAAUCUUAUAGCCACCUGAGUUAUUAACAGUGAGUUGUUGGGCAUGGAACAUAAAUAUUUCUCAGGACAUUGGUUUGUUAAACAUUUUCAUUAAAUGUGGGUAGUUCUUCCAUAAAACCUUUCUAGACUACAGGAAUGAGACUCUUACCUGAAAUCAGAGCCUUCAUUAUCUAUACUAUUCCUUUGACAAUGAGUCAGAUAAGAUAUCUCGCAGCAUUUUUUUUUCUUGUCUUCCAUUGUUUAAUGUUUAUAUUAUCAAACAUAAUUUUUAAGAUUUUCGAUUUUGUCUCCGUAGAUUUGGAGUUCUCUGAGAACUUCCUUUUCACAUAGGAA
ensembl:lncRNA